AACGAACGCUGGCGGCAUGCCUAACACAUGCAAGUCGAACGAGACCUUCGGGUCUAGUGGCGCACGGGUGCGUAACGCGUGGGAACCUACCCUUAGGUUCGGAAUAACUCCUCGAAAGGGGUGCUAAUACCGGAUAAUGUCUUCGGACCAAAGAUUUAUCGCCUUUGGAUGGGCCCGCGUUGGAUUAGCUAGUUGGUAGGGUAAAAGCCUACCAAGGCGACGAUCCAUAGCUGGUCUGAGAGGAUGAUCAGCCACACUGGGACUGAGACACGGCCCAGACUCCUACGGGAGGCAGCAGUGGGGAAUAUUGGACAAUGGGCGAAAGCCUGAUCCAGCAAUGCCGCGUGAGUGAUGAAGGCCUUAGGGUUGUAAAGCUCUUUUACCCGGGAUGAUAAUGACAGUACCGGGAGAAUAAGCGCCGGCUAACUCCGUG
rnacentral:rRNA from 1 species